GGAAGAGUGGCCCAGUAGUAGAGCAUCAGCUUAGUAAGCUCAAGGUCCUGAGUUCAAGUCCAGUACUGCCA
rnacentral:tRNA from 1 species